GAAUAUUGGUCAAUGGAGGCAACUCGGAACCAGCCAUGCCGCGUGAAGGAAGAAUGUCCUAUGGAUUGUAAACUUCUUUUAUUUGGGAAGAAACCCCACUACGUGUAGAGGGCUGACGGUACCAAAUGAAUAAGCACCGGCUAACUCCGUGCCAGCAGCCGCGGUAAUACGGAGGGUGCAAGCGUUAUCCGGAAUCAUUGGGUUUAAAGGGUUCGCAGGCGGCCUAUUAAGUCAGUGGUGAAAUCCUACAGCUCAACUGUAGAACCGCCAUUGAUACUGUUAGGUUUGAAUGUAGUUGGAGUAGGCGGAAUGUGUAGUGUAGCGGUGAAAUGCUUAGAUAUUACACAGAACACCGAUAGCGAAGGCAGCUUACUAAACUAUGAUUGACGCUCAUGAACGAAAGCGUGGGGAGCGAACAGG
rnacentral:rRNA from 1 species